rnacentral:rRNA from 1 species
UAAACUAGGAUUAGAUACCCUAUUAUUUUAAAUGUUUAUUUUUAUAUUAAAUUAUUAAUAGUUAUGUUCUUUAAAAUUAAAAAAUUUGGCGGUAUUUUAGUCUUUUCAGAGGAACCUGUCCUGUAAUUGAUAGUCCACGAUUAGGGAUACUUUAUUUAUUAAUUUACAUAUCGUCGUAGUUUGAAUAUUUUAUUAGAAUUAUAAUAUUCAAGAUUUUAUUUUAGAAAAUAUAUCAGAUCAAGGUGUAGUUUAUAAUAAAGAAGAGGUGGGUUACAAUAAAUUUAUUUUUGAAUAAAUUUUUUGAAAAAAUUUUGAAUUUGGAUUUGAAAGUAAUUUUUUGAGUUUUACUAAAAAUGAUUAUAGCUCUAAAAUAUGUACACAUCGCCCGUCGCUCUUAA